rnacentral:rRNA from 1 species
GCAUUACUACAUCAUAGCGUUAAUGCAUCGGAUCCCAUUAGAACUUUGUAGUUAAGCACGCUCAUGAUAGAGUAGUAUUGGGAUGGGUGACUGCCCAGGAAUUCCUAGUGUUUUACAUGCC